GACCAGACUCGGGCCGCCAACACUCGGAAAAUACCACAGAGGAGGUCGGAUCUUGGGUUUCACCCCUACUUGCCUCCAACACACGAACACCCUCACCCCCGUCAGCUGUCUGGCUGUUUGUCAGAUUCAGAUGAAAGAAGAUGUCCACUGCAUUGUCGAGGCUUUGAGCGGGUGUCCCCGAGGGCUACAAGUCCGCACCGCGUGCCAGAAGUCGUGCAGAGAAUUUUAAAGACAUCAUCGAUAAGUUGUGAAUGUGCGAGGGCAAUGUGAGUGCGACUUUCUCAAUUUGCACCCAGAUUUAUUAACUCGUGUAGUGACAAUUAUUUUUUUUUUAACCUCAUUACAGCGCAAUGCCCUUGCAAGGGUCAUAAAACACCCGGAUAUUGCACCUCCAUGAUGAGCAAAAGCUGUUGUUUUUAUUUCACUGGGUCGGUGAGUAAGAAGCUAUUAAAAGAAUAAUCAAGUCCACCCAUAAAUUACCGACCAAGUUUCGACUCUGUACCAAGUUCGAAAGAAGAAGUGGAAGUUAGCUGUGAUUUUAAAAAAAAUUCUGUUGGAGGUGAACUUUAACGGAUUUGACAUUAAAAGCCCGAGUUUAGGAUUUGGGGACUGCUGAGUAACCCUAGAGAGAGAGAUCCACGGUGAGUUCAAGUAAACUAGAAAGACAACACCAAGGACCAAGAGAGAGAGGGGGAGAGCUAAAAAUAGUUCUUUGUGAUUAAGCACACCCGCUGCAGUCCGUUCGUGGAAACUUCGUGAAGGAUUUAUUCCAAACAUCCGGUUUGUAGUGUAACCAGGAUAUGCGCGCACAUCUUGUGUAAUCUGCUCGCCGCUGUUAUUUAUGAAUGAGAGAAAAAGCAAGUGAUCCAGUGGGGAUCGUCUCACGAGGUGUGCGCGCGCUGGAGUUCUCUCGGCAGUGACGUUGAGGGGGUGGUUCAAGAAGAGUUGUCCACCGGGUUCCACCGCUCCAUCACACACUCCAGUCUCCAUCACACCCGCGCCAUGCUCCGUGGCGGUUGCUGGCGUGCGCCCGUGGUGUGUGUGGUGUGCGUUGGUCUGCUUGGCUGGCGAGCGUUGGCCCAAGGGUUCGCCGAGACCUUCAGCAAGUCGCCGUAUAUGUUCACUUCAUCUCAUGAGUUCCCGUUCGUGGUCAGAUCGUCGGAUAAUUUGUUGCAUAGCAAAGCUGGAGGGACAGGCAAGUACGUGGUGGCCGAGCACUCACGAGACGAUGGAGCCAUCCGCGUCCUCAUGAGUCCGUGCCAGGCAGCGGGUCGGAACUGUACCGUGCACUUUGACCUGUUGAUGCAGAACAGCUCGCUGCAGACGGUCCUGACGACCUUCUGCUCCGCGUGCGGCUUGGAAACUAUGGGAGGCCAUUUGGUUCAAGACUCAGUCAACGGCUCGACUUCGGGGUGGGUUCCUUACACCGUUCACCUGGAAGAAGUCCACUCGGCCUUUGUUCUCAACUUUGUUGCUAACGUCGGUGAAAGCGGCUCGCUGGUUGCCCUGGACAACAUCGUGAUGGAGAAGUGUGCAAUCGAUCCACAGGAGAAGGUGUGUAACGAUGACCAGUACCAAUGCCCGGACACAUCCCAUUGCAUAGACCGCGACAGACUGUGCGACCUGCAGCCCGACUGUUGGUGUGGUCAGGACGAGGAGGACGACGUCUGUGAAUUAGUUCCUGAAGGAGGACGAGUAGAUUUCUCCAACUGCGACUUCCAGGCAGGCAAGUGUUUCUGGUAUACAACAACCUCCACCCCGCUUGUGAAAGAGGACUCCGGGUGGAACGUGCUUCACAGAAACAGCUCCAAUAAACCAUAUCUACCUGACCCUUUUACUGCAGGUGAUUUCGCAUACAUCGAGCUACUCAGGAGCGCACGUGCACUGUACAAGUCGGAUUUUCUACGAAGUGUAGGCUUCCCGUCUUACCAUGCUCCAGCUGGAGAAUGUAAGGUCAGAUUCUUCUACUGCAUCUUGGGAUCCAGCCGUCUGUACCUGGAGCAGGUGAAACUGGCCGACAAAAAGCCGCAGCUUCUGUGGACUUCCCCUGACGUCAUUUCCGAUUCUCCUUGCUCCUGGCAGAGGGCUUCUGUCAGCCUCCUCACGGGAAGCUCGAGCAGCUACGUGCUUCAGUUCUACGUUCAACGGGAGCACGGCAACGACCAUACAAGUGUGUCUCUGACCAACAUCACCCUAACAUCAUCUUGUUUGACCAAAGAUGUUUUUGAGUCUUGCGGUGCUGCUGGGCCCACGGGACCCACACAGGAGAUGUGCCGGACUGCCUACGGGCCCAACCGCACAGUCCACGUGAUACAAGACGGCUCGUGGCAAGGGGCGCAGCUCUGGACGGUCCCCCUCACCUCCACUUACAGGGUCAAGGCUGUCGGGGCGCGGGGUGGCGCGGGUGGGAGCCCCAUCAACACUCUACUGAGGAGCCCCGUUUACAUCGAAGGUCAGGUGGACUUCAACGAGGGAGACCAGAUCAUGGUCGUCGUGGGACAGGCUGGACACGAUAGCUGUUAUGCGACAAAGGCCAGACAGCAGCUAGAGGUGUGCCGGGUGCAUGCCGACAACAAUUCCAGUGAAACUUUCCCCAAAAGUGGUGGAGGAGGGGGUGGUGCCACAUUUGUUUACCUGAUGAAGGGAGAUGAACUGAAUUACUUCUGAUGGCGGGUGGUGGAGCUGGCAACCCUUUCUCUCUUUUCGUCCCAUCAGAACCAGAAAACCACUCCCAUACACCUACCCGAAACUACCCCCAAGAGUGGAUAAACGUGACGGGCAGAUCGUUCUCGGGUAGAACCUGUCCGUGGACUAACAUCACCGUGGCCAUGGGUGGAUUUGGCGGCGGCAUCGGGGCAUG